AGCGAACGCUGGCGGCGUGCUUAACACAUGCAAGUCGAGGGAGAACGGAGGGCUUCGGCCUUCUUAGUAAACCGGCGCACGGGUGAGUAACACGUAGGUAACCUACCUCCGAGUUCGGGAUAACCUGUCGAAAGAUAGGCUAAUACCGGAUAAGACCACGAUGGCUUCGGCCACUGCGGUCAAAGAUGGCCUCUAUUUAUACGCUAUCGCUUGGGGAUGGGCCUGCGCACCAUUAGCUAGUUGGUGAGGUAACGGCUCACCAAGGCUACGAUGGUUAGUUGGUCUGAGAGGAUGACCAGCCACACUGGGACUGAGACACGGCCCAGACUCCUACGGGAGGCAGCAGUGGGGAAUAUUGCGCAAUGGGGGAAACCCUGACGCAGCGACGCCGCGUGGGUGAUGAAGGCCUUCGGGUCGUAAAGCCCUGUCGGAGGGGAAGAAGGACUCUCGUGCAAAUAGUUCGAGGGUUUGACGGUACCCUUAGAGGAAGCACCGGCUAACUCCGUGCCAGCAGCCG
rnacentral:rRNA from 1 species